rnacentral:rRNA from 1 species
UACGGGGGGGGGCAAGCGUUGUUCGGAAUUACUGGGCGUAAAGGGCUCGUAGGUGGCCAACUAAGUCAGACGUGAAAUCCCUCGGCUUAACCGGGGAACUGCGUCUGAUACUGGAUGGCUUGAGUUUGGGAGAGGGAUGCGGAAUUCCAGGUGUAGCGGUGAAAUGCGUAGAUAUCUGGAGGAACACCGGUGGCGAAGGCGGCAUCCUGGACCAAGACUGACACUGAAAAGCGAAAGCCAGGGGAGCAAACGGG